rnacentral:lncRNA from 1 species
AAGCACAUUAAACUAUAAUACAUAAAUGUAAGGUAACAACCGAGACCUAAUGGUGCUGUGACAGCAACGUGAUUGAGUUUGAGACAGUGAAAAAUACAUAUGGUAUGUUGUAUCUGAACAGGUUAGCUUACGAGCUAAAGUUACUUAGCACAGAUGAAAGUUAAAACAAAGACGUUUAGCAAACUGUUAAAGCACACAAACCAUCGUCAUAUGAGAAAUCCGACGCUAUGACUCUCCACAAGUUGUCCUUCAGGUCGUUAUCUUUGUAAUAUUUGUUGGAUAUACCGUGAAUCUGAUGUCGCAACAACACGAAAUCUGAUUGGUCAGAAGUGGACUCAUAGUAUGCACAACUUUAGAAAAUUGAUACGAAAAAAGAAAAAGCCGCAAUAUCGAAGGACGGGAAACAUCGCUGAUGAGACCGUUUAUUGUGUAUUGACAGGAUACGGGUUCGAAAAAAAAUAUUGACAUCCAAAAUAAUCGCACGAAAAAAGGACCUUAAGAAUGCAGGUUAAAAGUAAAGCAUGCAUAGAUAAAACCACAACGACAUGAUCAUCACUUAACCCCGCCCCUUGCGUCUGAUUGGCCCAAUUCAUCCUUACCCCUCUUGUAAAGCUCCCCUGAAGUUUUUCUGAGCUGCUUCGCCUUAUUUUCUGACCUUGUCUUUGUCUCCUCUCCGACUUAAUUUUCUUUCUUGUUCCUCACUUUUGUACCGAAUCUAUUUGUGGCGAGUGAAAAACGAUUUGUUUGACAAAACCAUGACUGCUCCUGCUGUACUCAGAGCUUUGCUUUCUGUACCACACGGUGCAAACACAAGGUUAUACACAGCUGGGUAAAAGUCACUUCUUUUGACAGAUUUGCUCUUAUUGCUGUUAUAAAUGUUCAAUCCCAGUCCCCCUAUUUUGAGAUAAACUGCUGCCAUGAAAACUGGGAUUAUCAUAAACAUCAUAAUUACACACACUUUAAUUAUAACAUCCAUACAGUGCUGCGCACUUGUCCAGAGUCAUUUAUAGAAGCUGCCUGACCAGCUGCAAACUACAUUAUAGGCUCUGUGGUGCACUUUACAGUCAUAAGCACAAAUUUAACAGCGUGCAAGCAUUUUCCUUUUUGGGUGAAAAUAUUCCCUCCAGAUUGUCUGUAAUUUAAAGCCACUGUCCGGCUCCAUAAAUUCAGGCAAUUUAUUAUCCAAGAUUUUUAAGAGUAAAGGAGAACUUGUUAAUGCAAGCACUCUGUUCUCACACAGUCAUCAUUAUCAUUUAAACAUAUAACUCUAUUCAUCACAAAGAAAUACUUAAAAACUGUGUGUUAACCUGAAGGGUGUCACUGAAGACAAUCCAAAAGUACUAUUUGGUACUGGUGGCUCCUCUAGGACCUGAGUCCAUUUUAAAUGUACUUGGAUAAAGUGGAAAACUCUUUGAAAGAGUGGAGAGAUACACAGUUCAUAAUCCAGUAUUCAAUAUUGUUCUAGGGAUCAAAAAGUCUCAAUGGCAUGGAUGGUGCAAAUGUUCCCAUCGAGACAGAGCCUGUAUUUGUUUGGAAAUCCAGGAGACCUGCUUCUUUUUAGUUAAGACAGUGAGAUGUGGUUCCAUUUUUGCCCGGUAAAGGGUUCAUGCUCACCACUUAGGGGUCUCUUAUCUUGUAUUUUUCAUCUUGUCAUGCACUAAGAGUUUUGCGAUUAGAUUAGAUUAGAUUAGAUUAUUCAACUUUAUUGUCAUUAACCACAGUACAAGUACAUGAACAACGAAAUGCAGUUUAUUAUCUAAUAAGAAGUGCAAGGAAGUAAAGUGCAAGGUAUGUACAUAUGUGCAGUGCAGGUAUGACAUAUGUGUAUAUAUAUAUAUAUAUAUAUAUAUAUAUGUAUACACAUAUAUGAUUGAGAAGCACUGUGGUUCUAUGUGAGGAAAAGGCAUUGCCACUGCAUUUGGUGGACACAGGCCCUAAAGCUUAGAUUAAAAUGUUAUGUAAGAACAAAACAACAUGCCACUUGAAAAUUGGAUUUUAUUUAUUUAUUUGUCAUAUUUCAAAGCUAUGGUUCUGCCUGAUUCUUUCUUGGGAAAAGAUGCAUUUCUUGCAUGUGUUCUGAUACUUAUGACAAUGUGAUGCUGAAACGACAAAUGAUUAAGUAUCUCCUUGUUAGUGAAACCUAGCUACAGAAGUUCAAUUCAUCUAAACGCUCCACAGCGCUCAUUUAAACAACUAACAACAGGUUGGAAUAGCUACUAGCUACGACUUUAUUCUCGUAAUAAAAUCAUUACGAGAAUAAAGUCGUAGCUAGUAGCUAUUCCAACCUGUUGUUAGAACUUUAUUCUUGUAAAUAAUGAUUCAUUACAACUUAAUUUUCGUAAGAAAUGAUUUUAUUACGACUUUAUUCUCGUAAUUAUUUUAUUAUGACUUUAUUCUCGUAAGUAAUGGUUUUAUUUCAACUAUUUUCGUAAGAAAUGAUUUUAUUACGACUUUAUUCUUGUAAGUUAUUAUUUUAUUACAACUUUAUUCUAGUAAUUAAUGAUUUUAUUAUGACUUUAUUUCCAUAAAAAUUGAUUUUAUUACAACUUUAUUCUCGUAAAUAAUUAUUUAUUACGACUUUAUUUCCAUAAGAACUGAGUUUAUUACGACUUUAUUCUUGUAAUUAUUUUGUUAUGACUUUAUUCUCGUAAGUAAUUCUGAGGUCUAAAAUUUUCUCUUUUCUUAAUGUGGCUCUAAUGCUCCGUUGUACAAAGCCAAGACAAUAUUUUACAAAUAAAAAGUCUUUUUUUUUUUUUUUUUUAAUCCUAUAGGACUUUUUAUAGCUUGACUUUUAAAGACUUAAAUCAUGAUUAUAUAUGUACCAUCCUCUUAAGGAUGGUAUUCAGUAGUUACACAGUACACUCUGAAUUUGCUAUAGUUAAUUAAUUUUCAAAAAAAAAUAUACAUAUAUGUUGAGUUAUCAGAAUAAACACUGAUUUGCUUCCAGGCUAUCAGUGCAUUGGUACAUGUAUCAUUUACAGGACCAUCAGUGUCACUGACUGAAAUGCAAUAAGACUAUAAAUAGACGGCAAACUGUAUGUACCGUGGUUGACAUGAGCAGACAUCCCUAGUUACUAUGAGUGACAUGCAGGCUGAUUGUUGGGAAUACAGUCACAUGUUCAUGUACUCUACUGGGUGGACUUGAUUCAUUCUUAAAAUAUCCUCUCCAUGGCAUGAAGCUCUUCGAGGUGAACAUUUUUCCACACACAGUUUGAAUCACUGUGACCAUGAUUUAGAUUGAGUGUUGAAGUAGCUCUAUAGGUGAAGAAUAUGCUGUUUUCAUUUCUUACUUUGUACUGUGUGGACUUUGUAUGAAGAACUUUAAAUAACUUCCUGUUUCAUUGGCGGAAAGCACAGUCUGACAAUCUACCAUAUACUCAGUGUGAGCAAUAACACUUUAUGAGAUCUGAAGGCUCUUCUUGUGGCAUGUGUUUAACAUAUAAAAAGACAUAUCACAGAGAUGCACAUAGGAUUUCAUCAUGGUGGUAUGAGGGUUUUUUUUAUAGGUCUAUGCCUAGAGAUUAUCAUGCAUGUAGGUGAAAUAUUGAGGAUAUCUCACCAGACCUGAUGCAUGUGUGAAUUUCGUUGAGUUUGGAGGCAUGUUAAGGACCUGAAUUUGGGAUGAUAAUUCCUUGCAUUCCUAUAGGGUCUCUUUUUUUUUUGCUUUACAUUUGCUCAAAUUGCCUCAAUUGAUAUUGAGUUACUGUGUUAAGAUUCCUUUCCUCUGCUUCAGGCGGUGACACUGAUGCCGUGCACUGUGAGUUAAUAACUAUAUAUGAUCCCAUGUUAUUGAAUUGAUUUCUGUUGGACAGCAUAAAUAAUAAAGAUGAAAUCAAUAUUUGACACUCUAUAUAUCCCAUAUAUACAUUGCGUAUCCAUUAUUUCCCAGGGUCCCACCAGAGGGAUCACGAACUUCAGUCAAGCGCAGCCUCACUUGACAGACGAGUUCGUAAGCUGGGGUGUCAAUCAUGCCUCCAGGUGAUGCCUUUUGCAGGAAAAAUAACAAAUUAGCAUCUGUCAGAGGUUGUCAAGCAGAGGGCCACGACAUUAGGUCAAACAGCUGCCGGGGAUUUGAUUAAAGCUGCUGCCAAGUUGACACGGAAUAAAAACUCUGAAAAUAGACUGCUCCUUAAUUAGAAAUGCAUUAGCAGCAGAUCACUUCUAACCAGAAUGGUGACAAAACAAUUUGUACACCACUGAUGGAAUUAUUAUUUUUUUAUUCCGUUUCAGCUACAGUAUUUAUUACAAUUGCUUGAAAUCUGAAUAACAAAAGCAGAACUCUCUCAUUCUCUCUCAGCUUUCAAAGUGCACAUAAUUACCGGUUUUGCAAUGCGACUUGCAGAGACGUCCUUGUGCUGCUUGGAAUAAUAACCGAGACCAAUUUCAGGGAUAAAGUUUCUCAGAGAAUGUGGAGCAUUCUUUAUAAAGAUAGAGACGAUAACAGCCUGAUUUAUGAGCCGGUAUGAUCCCAUAAGUGAAACUUAGAAGUCACACACAACAGAGAAGACUCCAGAAGUGACAGACAGGUAUAGUAGUUGCAUGCAAGAGCACAUCCUUGUCACCAUCCCCUCAUAUUUUCUAUCAAAUCCAUAUUUACCCCUUCAGAUGGGGAGCAGACGCCAUGACUUAUCAGGGUCCUGGCUGAAGGCGAUGUUUAUGGUGAAUGAUGUCAGGGGCCCAUGCUUGGCUGGUCACUCCGAGCGCCUCCUCUUUUCGGUUCUUCUCUGUGUCUGUGAUCUGGGGUCAUUAUUGGAACUGUCAGCGUGCAAUUUCAAACAGAAAAAUUGCAGUUGUUGGCAGACAAGCAAAUGGAGUGUCCUGCCACUAAGUCGAGGGAUCAAUAUGAUUUUUUGUGCAUGCAGCGGCGAGUGUAGUGACUAAAUGAACACUGCUUGAUUUGCAGUGUAUUUAUUUUAUUUUAUGAAGCCUUCAAGUGAUUUGUGGCCCACAGUUAGUCAUAUUCAAUUUUCUGCCGUGCUUGAACUUUCUCAGGUUGUUUCCCAAGACCUUGAACUGCGAUUUCAGCCUGACCAUCUUCCAAACAUUGCAAGGGCAUGCAUCCUUGGACAUAAUUUGACAUUUAAAUUUGUACCACUAGUUCCCAGAGGUGUUUAAAAGUUUAUGUACUUGCCUGCCAAACAAUCUGUGCUUAUGGUAAUGAAAAACAGCUAAUGCCAAGCAUAUAGUAUGGGCUUAGUACACUGAGUGCUGGGAACAUGAUGGUGUUUUAAAAAAUGUAUAAAAAUAGGCACAACUGGUGCCAAAAUUGCCCUGAGUGGACACAGGCCUUCAAAAUUGCUGUACUUGGACACAGGCCCUGAAAACUGCCCUCAGUGUACGCAGGCCCUAAAAGUUGCCCUUAGUUCACACAGGCCCUUAAUGUUGCCAUCUGUGGACAUGGGCCCUUAAAGUUGCUGUCAGUGUACACAGGCCCAAAAAAUUUCCGUCAGUGCACACAGACCCUAAAAGUUGCCCUCGGUGUACACAGGCCCUUAUAGUUGCCAUCAGAAGACAUAGGCCCUAAAUGUUGCCAUCAGUGGACACAGGCCCAAAAAGAUGCCCUUAGUGCACACAGGCCCUAAAAGUUGCCAUCAGAGGACACAGGCCCUAAAAGUUGCCCUCAAUGCACACAGGUCCUAAAAGUUUCUAUCAGUGCACAUAGGCCCUAAAAAAAGUUGCCCUCAGAGGACACAGGCCCUUAAAGUUGCCAUCAGUAGACACAGGCCCUAAAAGUUGCCCCAAGUGCACACAGGCCCUAAAAGUUUCCCCCAGUGCAAACAGGCACUAGCAUUGCCUUCAGUGCACACAGGCCCUAAAAGUUGCCAUCAGUGGACUCAGGCUCUAAUGAGAAUCAUACGGGUACAGUGGCAUUGAGCUAGUGGUGCUGUUUGCAAUCAACAAAGGUAAUUGUUUCCAUGACUAUCAAUACAGAGGAAAAUUUAAAAAAGUUUCUGUGUAGCUUCGAAAUGAGAGAAGUUCUUACCUUAACUCUAUGGAAAUUAACCAGUGGGAUGAAAGAGUUGGUGCAGUGAUACAAAAACCACAAAUGAUUGGACAGGAUAUGGGAAAAUAAAAUAUGAAAGAUGCACAAAUGAAAAUUAACCACCUCACUGAGCCGCUGUUUUAAAACGAAGCUCUCAAAGAACACUGACUAAGACUCCCAAACGAAAACACAAUGGCAGCCGGGGAUGUCUUAAAAGAGAUACACAAAAGCCUGGGGCAGAAGAGGUCCAGCACUAACUGACUGUACCCGGAGAGAAACGUGUAAUGGUGAGGAAAUCAUGCAGACAGGUUCCCCAAAUACCAAUUAAGAGCAAAGACAGAAUGAACUACUCAUUAGUGAUGUGUCGGUCAUGAACGAACAGAUCAAAAGAACUAGUUCUUUUUGGUGAACGAAAUGAACGAGGUCACCCCCCCUAAAUGAUCCGUUCAGUCCGUUCAGUUCUUUUGAUUGGCUGAAGAGUCAGUUCACCGUUCCUUAGGGUGGGACUAUCUCCGUGCUUGCCUGUCUUAUCCUAUCAUCGUGCCUCGCUCUGUGGGUGGGUGGGGCUUAGAGAAGCAGCAGCAGUACUGAGCUGACUGUAAUGUGCUGUAAUGUGCUAGCCUAGCUAUAUAGCUUGGUUUAGCUGGGUCAACAUGCCGGUUUUUCGGUGUAAAAAUUGACCCCGUUACCUGGAAACUUGCGCAUGAGAUUGUCCCAAGUCGCACAGCUGUUGAAUACAUAUUCUUAGAUCUCUCUGUGUUUUGAAUGUCAGCAAAGACGUAUCUGUUGGAAAUACUUGAUGUUAUUGUCACAAAGGGAGCUAAGAGGCUCUCGUUCGUUCAGAGUCUGAACAGAUCUCCCCCUGCAUAAACCCGGUCAGCCGUGUCGAGUCAGUCCGUUCGCUCACAUUCGUUCAGACGCUGAACGAACGUGAACAUGAGCGAACGGACUGACUAACGACCAAUUGACCGAAAUGACUGAAAUUAACGAAUCUUUUUACUGAACGAACCGGAAUGGUCCGGUUCACUGAAAUGAAUGGUUUUGCCCACCACUACUACUCAUACAGCAGUUACCAGGAAACGUAAUGUGAUUCAAAUUAGACUCAUUCAAGGUAAUCUUAUGCUCUGUCAGAGAAAGACUUCAUUUAAAAUUACACUUUUGAUUCAUUUCAUACAUAUAAUAACACGAAUAUUGAAGCCUUCCAGUGAGUGGUGCCAUAUUGUGCUGUAGCAAGCAGCAGCUGUGACGAGAGUGAAUGUGAUCAAUACCAGCAUCCAAAGAGAUUUAAAGGAUAGUUACAUCAAGGUCUUCUUUUUGUUGUAGUUUAUACUGCAGUGUUCAGAUGCUGAGGAGGAACAUAUCACACUGAGGCAUGACCUUUAAAGGUUUGGUAAAGCACUUUAAAGCACUCAUUUUCAAAGGACUCUUUGGUGAAAGACAGGAAAAAGGUAGCAUUAAUGUUUUCUAAAACUUAUCCAAAAAAGAAACUCAGACAUUUCUAGCAAGGAUAACCAGAUCCAGUUAUUAAAAGAUAGGACCUAAAAACCAUCAUUGAUGUUGCUGAUUGGCUUGUUUGGAUUCGGAUCAUCUUAAACGACAUAAAUGUGACUUUUAAUUAGGGCCCCACCGAUUUAUCGGUGAGCUGAAUAAAUCAGCCAAUUUUAGCCCAAUUGAGACUAAUCAGUAAUCAGCUAAAACUCGAUGAUUUUCACCGAUAUUUUCAGAAAUAAAAUGUGGAAAAUAAGAUUUGGUUGCACUUCGAAAAUGUUCCGCCAUUUGAACAGUUGCCCGACUUAUCCUGUAGAUGGCGCAGCGACCUCAUGACAAUCUUCAUCCACUAACUACCUCACAGCACAGCAGAGUGACGGAUCUGAAGCAGGCAGCUCAGGGACGCACGGAGGAGAGUGGUCCACCUCAACGGUAAAUAAACUAGCUUGUGAAAUACACAAUAAGUCAACAAGUUUCAGUUCAACUCACUUCACGAUGUUCCCCGCUGUGCUGGUCUUGGUCACGCCGAGUUAACGGUGAAGCACCAUGUAAUAUGCAAGCUAACGUUAGAGUUAGCCACCUGCUAUUAGCCUUGCUACACUGUUAGCCGCGCUAGUAACGGUAGAAUAAACAACAGUACACAUUACAUGAUUGAGCUACUUCUCUUACUGAGGCAGCUGAAUGUCUCCAGAUGAGACCAGACCGGAAAUGAGUAACGUGAGUUAAGACGCGGAGGCACCGCAUCAGAGGCAUCGGGUAGUUGACGCUUUUCUGGUCCGAGUUUGAUCAGUCGGUCUUCUUGUCGGCGUGAAGAGCAGUAGCCUACAGUAUAUCUACAGUAUAAAGUAAACUGUAGAUAUCUACAGUAUAUAUAUAUAUAUAAUUUUUUUUUUUUUUAAUAACUUCAAAAAAAAUUGAAAAGAUCCGCUGAUUAAUCGGUAAUCCGAAUUUUUUCCCCCUAAUAAUUGGUAUCGGCAUCGGCCCCAAAAAAUCCAUAUCGGUCAGGCCUUUAUCAAUAUGACUUUCAAUCAAAGUUUGGCACUCUUUUUGGGAAACCAUGGACCCCAGACUCGCUUUUUUAACCACACUGAUCGUCAGCAUUUUCGGGGUUACCUCAGUCUACAUUACCACUGGACUUAUGGGAGCUGUUCUCUGUUUGUAAUACAUUGCUAUACGGUCCUGUGGUACUUUUCCUAUCUGCUUCCCUCUGUAAACCACUUAUAAAGAUAAAUAAUGAGGACAAAAUCUAGGAAUCCAGCCAGACUGAUCCUCUAAGAUAAAUUGAAUCAGAUAUUCAGACGCUUUAUCAGAGCCACUAAGGAGAUAACACAAAUCUGCGCAAAGCAGAGCUGCAGAGGAACAAUAAAUAAAGACACGGGGCUUGCUUUCUUAUCAGCCCCUUCACUUUCAGGUUACAUUUCAAGUCUACAAAUGACACAAUGUGCAUGUGGUAUGCUAAUAAAUACGUGCAUUGCUCUGCAGUGAUUCAUAACAGCAGACUUUUUGGACCCUUUGUGGUGAAUUAACAAAAAAGUGCAUUAGCAGGCAUUCAUUAUGCAAAGCAAUGGCUCAGAAAUAAUGUGCAAAAUUACUAGGACUGUGCAAUCCAUUAUUGUCAUUUAUUUCCACACUGGGUGAACAAAAAGGGAGAAGAAUGGGAGAGAUAUAAGAUGGAACAAGCCGGGCCUGUUUUUAGCAGGCACAUGGAAAGACACUCACUCGCACACAUACGCACACCUUUAAGCUGUCUUUCCAUGAAUGUCUUUUAAGCCGCAUGUCACAUCAUGUCACUUUUAUGCAAAAGAAGUGCCUCACUGUUGUGUGAUCUGAUGUGCUGAGUGUGUACGCACACGCACUCGCUGUACGCAAGUGCGCGUACGUGCUCGCCUUCAGUUGAUUCAGCGUUCACAUUUGUUCGCUGUCAUUUAUUAGCAGAACCAGACUGCUGCCUCAACCUCCUGGAGGCAAUGAGAGCUAUUUAAAGAAAUCAGAGCCACACCAAGUCUCUAAAUGAAGACAGGGGCGAAUGAGGGCGAGACGAGGGGAGGAGGGGGGAGAAAAAAAAAGGGGGAACAGAAAGAAGUGUUGAAGGAGCGAAAAUGACAAGGCGGGCGAGGGGGGAGAAAAGGAGAGGAAAUUACAGAAGUCUGGAGAGAACGGGGAGAGAGGAGAUGAGGAAGGGGCGUGAGGGUGAGCCGCAGAGUGCUGUCAAGACAAAAAAGGUGCAAAGGGUCAUGGAAGGGAGAGAUGGAAAUUUGAAAGGAUGGGAGGCGAGCUAGCAGAGUGAGCAAGCAUGGUUUGAAGGAGAGGAGGAAGUAAACAAGUCUUACUUUGAACUUAAGGCAGAGACAUGCGAAGGAGAAUGAUGGAGAGAGGAGAGAGAAUGGAGAGCAGAGGAAUAAAGAAGAAAGAUACAGACAAUGAAUAUUGAUGCACAUGUUUUGUGCACAGAAAUAAAGAUUGGUGGUGAGUGGCUGAUGAGUGGCAGCCAAGAAAGGUAGACAAAAAGGGAAAAACAUGUAGAAACAAGAGAGGAAUGUUAAAAGCAUCAACCAAAUCGAAGAAAACAGACAUGAAGCAACCACAAACCUCAACAUAUGGAUUUGAUUGGAUUACAGGACUGACAUGACUUUAAGUGCUGUUGUUAUAGUCCGUUAUUGUUAAGGAUGCUAACAGGAAAGGACGCCAAUUUUUUUAAUGUAACUGCGACUUUUGUACCAGUUGGAAAAGAAAGAAGAAGAAAGUAUGGCAUACAGUAGUUGGUUGUCUCAGGAAACCAUUGAUGUCAUUGGAUGGCCCAGUGAUUGGCUCAGCCACAAUCCCCUGGCCAAAAACCAUAGCUGUAUGUCUUCCCCAAUCUCUCCUCCCCAUAUUUCAUGUCUUUUCAGCUGUCCUUUCUAAUAAGGUUGAAAAUAUCAGAGAAAAAAUAACUUUAAAAAUGUAGGGGCUCCUUUACAGUACUCGGCUCGUAUUUCACCGACUUCUGGGGUAAUUAAAUCAAAUGGUCUGCUGAAGCCUGAACCCCAAGUGGACUGUCUGGAAGUCAGCAGAAAGUCAACAUGAGACCUCGGGAAGACCUGAUGAAUUGUGGGUUUUGACAGCCCUCAGCACUCACAGACUUAACAGUGAAUGUGUCUCCAGAGUGUCACAGUUUGCCAGAGUUUGAAGUAUGCACAUUCAGUUCAUCCUCAGAGUUACUCAUGAGCAAAGUUUAAACUCCUAGGAAAGAAUCUGGACCACUGACAUUAGCGAAGGGAAUCAUAUACGCAUAUAAAUCUUGGUAAUCUUAAAUCUCGUACUAAAAGGACUUAAUUGUCAAAAUCUUAGUGUUUUUCUAAAUGUGAUCAUGAUGUAAGUUAGAGGAUAUUACUGUAAAUCUAAGAGACCAAAGCAGUUUUACAGCUCAUUUCAAAGUAAAAUAUAUGUAUAUUGAUCUCAUAAAUCUUAAAAAUCUUAAAACUUGUACUUAAAGGGCUUUAUUGACAAAAUCUUUGUUUUUUCUAAUUGUGACCGUGCUGUAAUAAACGAGAUAUUACUGUAAAUCUAAGAGACCAAAGCAGUUUUACAGCUCAUUUCAAAGUAAAAUAUAUGUAUAUUGAUCUCAUAAAUCUUAAAAAUCUUAAAACUUGUACUUAAAAGGCUUUAUUGACAAAAUCUUUGUUUUUUCUAAAUGUGAGUCUGUGAUGAUUUAUACGGUAUAUUACUGUAAAUCUAAGAGACCAAAGCAGUUUUACAGCUCAUUUCAAAGUAAAUUUUAUAUUAAUAAAUCUUAUUAAUCUUAAAUCUUGUACUAAAAUGACUUUAUUGUCAAAAUCUUAAUGUUUUUUCUAAAUGUGACAGUGAAGUAAUUUACGGGAUUUUACUGUAUAUCUAAGAGACCGAAGCAGUGUUACAGCUCAUUUCAAAGCAAAUUUUUUAUAUAUAAAUAUAUAUCUUGUAAAUCUUAUAAAUCUUAAAUAUUGUACUAAAAGGACUUUAUUGUCAAAAUUUGAAUGUGUUUCUAAAAGUAACUGUUAUGUAAUAUACAAGAUAUUACUGUAAAUCUAAGAGACCCAAGCUGUUUUACAGCUCAUUUCAAAGUAAAAUACAUACAUAUAUAUUAAUCAUUUAAAUCUUAUAAAUCCUUAAUCUUGUACUAAAAGGACAUAAUUGUCAAAAUCUUAAGGUUUUUUUUUUUUCCCUAAAUGUGACCAUGAUGAUUUACGGGAUGUUACUGUAAAUCAAAGAGACCAAAGCAGUUUUAACUAAUUUCAAAGUCAAAUAUAUAUAUAAAUAUAUAAAUACAUAUAAAUAUUAAUCUUACAAUUCCUUUAUUUUGUACAAAAAAGACUUUAUUGUCAAAAUCAAUUUUUUUUUAAAAUGUGAGCGUGAUGAUUUAUACGGUAUAUUACUGUAAAUCUAAGAGACCAAAACAGUUUUACAGCUCAUUCCAAAGUAACCACGCAGGUUUGAACAUCUGUACUUAUGAAGAGCUCAUUCACACAAUAACGCCCAAAGGAACAUGGGUGAAGGUACUGAAUCUAAUGAUAGUUCAUUUAACGCUUAAAGGCAUAUUCCGGCAUUUUAUGCUAAAGCACUGAUGUGAUGCUAAUGAAUGUGCUGCAGAUACUAUGGGUGCUAUGGAGAGGAAAAAAGGGGGUAAUUAGUACGGUAAAGGUUUAUUCAGUUUCACGCGUCAAGCACUUUUAGGGGAAAGUGCUUGACACCCCAUAAUAAGUGUAGAGAGUCUCAUUGCAUCAAUUGGUCAUGAGAUAUUUCAGUCUGUUACCAAGCAAUAGACCAAUAUAUUUUACUCUUGCGGUAUGCUACUAGCAUGGGUACAAACAGAAAUGUCAACUUAUGUUCCCUCUGAUUUUUUAUGUGUUUAAUGAAAAAAACUCGCCUCACAGAGGUUCAAAGCGUUCAAGCUUGUUAGAGAUAGUACCUUUGAAGCGUAACCCAAAGCACAAUACAAAAAUUUGGCUUGUUUUUGCUCUGUGGCAACACCCCCCUGUUUGUUUGCUGUUGUCGGAAACUGCUGUUUCACAGCUAAUGCGGCCUUUGUCAGCAACAAACAAAACCCCCAGCAAGAGAAAAAUUGGGUCCUCUUUUUUUUUUUCUGUUUGAACUACAGCAGCAAUUAAGCCAUGUCUGCUUCUUAUUAAAGAGAAUUCAAAUGAUGGUUUGCCUCACUGCCCUCAGAUAUAAUAUGAUUCCUCUGGCUCCAUAUUACCAGCAGGAUGAGAAAUUACCCCCAGUGUCUGCAAUCUAAAGAAAAGUUUGAGGAAAGUAUUAAGUUUUUUGAAUUAUCACGGGAGGGGGGGAUUGAAUUUAAGCUGCAAUUUAAUUUUUUUUUAAACAUUUGAGAUAAUGUAAAUAAUUCCUGUUCAGCCUGUGAUUUCUUCUGCUUUAAUUCAUUGUAAAUUAAUACUGCUACAAGUCAAAAAGAGGAACUAAACUGCUCGAACUCAACUCUUUGGAGAACUGGUGAUUAAAUCUCCUCCUUUUGAUUACUCUGUACUCAAAGUUAAAGGAAAAUACUGAACCUUUGAACUUAGAUACUUUGCCGCUCGAUCCAGUUAUUUGUAUAGAUAUGUACAAUGAAAGCUGAGCAAAAGUUCAGGGCUGGUGCUGAAAUUACAGUUUAUUCAGUGUACUUGCUGUCGUAUUAAGAAUCUUGUUUAAAAAAUCUAUAACUAGACUGCCAUUCAAGCAGUCUUAAAACCAAGACAUGAAGGUUCAAGAAAAAGUGUUUUUGCACAUGUCAGCCUCAGAAAAUAUCAGCCUGUGAGAACAUAGGGGACUCGGCAUGCUCUUAAGUCAUGAAUGGAGGAGAAAUCGCAAAAGAGUAAUUGAGGUAAAGUGAAAGUAUUAAGGUCCUUACACAUCUGGAACGAUGCAAAUAUAUGACGCGAAAUCAUGAAAUCGCAAAUUUUGACGUGCCUGACUGUACACAUCAAGCUCAAUGCGAUUUUUCGACUUUCCGGGGGGAAAAAGACGCAUCCCGGGUGGAAGUGAGAAGACUGACACAACAGCAGACUGACUGUUUUUCAGUUCUAAUUAGACACUAGUGUUGAGAUGUCUGUCUGUCAUGAUAGCAUGGACUGAGUCGGGGCCAGUACCAGAUAAGCACAUUAAACUAUAAUCCAUAAACGUAAGGUAACAACCAAGACCUAAUGGUGCUGUGACAGCAACACGAUUGAGUUUGAGACAGUGAAAAUACAUAUGGUAUGUUGUAUCUGAACAGGUUAGCUUACGAGCUAAAGUUACUUAGCACAGAUGAAAGUUAAAACAAAGACGUUUAGCAAACUGUUAAAGCACACAAACCAUCGUCAUAUGAGAAAUCCAACGCUAUGACUCUCUACAAGUUGUCCUUCAGGUCGUUAUCUUUGUAAUAUUUGUGUCUUUUAUCAAAAAGUACUCUCUUCUCCGACACGUAAACAAUCAGCUUGUCGGCCAUGUUGGAUAUACCGGUUAAUUAGAUGUCGCAACAACACGAAAUCUGAUUGGUCAGAAGUGGACAUAGUAUGUGAAACUUAAGAAAAUUCGACUGUGAUAUGAAAAAAUAAAUGCCGCAAUUUCGCAGGACGGGAAAAUGUCACUGAUGUGAACGCUUGUAUUGACAGGAUACGGGAUCAAAAAAAAGUAUUGACGUCCGAGUCACAUGAAAAAACACUCCCGGUAUGUAAGAAACUUCAGGGUAAUUUAUUUGGGGGAGUAAUUUUCUAACAAUAAUAUAGUCAAACAUUUUAUAAUAAUUUAACAAUAACUUCAUUCUCAUUAAAAAAGAAUAGGUAAAUUGUUUUACUAAACAUAUUUUUGGUAAGAAAAUAGCUGAAGAUAAAAUCAGUAAUUCUGUAUUGUGAGCCAAUACUCUGUUGAAGACACUGACUGUCACAUCAGAGACAAUUAGUCUGCCGUGUGACCCUGUUAUUAAGUUCAUACACCCUAUAAUGAUCAGCGGGGUUACCAGAGGAUGUGGGUAUGCUGCUUGAUAGCUUGAUAUUAACGCUGAUAUUAACAUUUGCAGAACAACAUGCAGAUUUAGGCCUAAAUCCAGGAUCUGUUUUUAAUGUUAAUAUAUUUUUUUAGAAAAGCUUAACCCCCAGAAUCACUCUUGUAUAUGUGUGGCAAACAGCCUGUUCAGUUUAGAACAUUUUACACGUUUAUUGUACAUGUGUAUUAGUUUUAACUUACAGUAGAUCACACACUACCUUUACUUUUCCUAUAAAGAAUCAAUAGUGACGCUUGUCAUUCAAGAACUGAUAGUUUAAGGUUUGAUUUUGGGUAAAACUCACAAAGAAAGAGUAAAAGAGAAAACAAACGGCUUAUGUGAGUUGUUGCUGUCAGGUCGCAAACACGCUCCCAUCUGAAGCCGGCUUUAAUGAGGGGGUGGUGAAAAAGAGGAGGGAAUGGGAGCCUAUGAUGGGCUAUUUUCAGACCAAAUGGACCGUGCACAAGCUUUUGUUGACAUUUAAGGAGGAAAAUUAACCUUAAUUUUCCCAUUACUCCAUCAUCUUUAAAGUGGGAAUCACAGUUACUGAUCCAUGGCCUUGAAAGGACACUAUAUGAUCCAGAUCUGGUGUCAAAUUGAAUUGCAUGUCGAUGGAAACUCAUCCUAAAAAUUACUAAGAUUUCCAAAACACAGGUGUGAUACGAUAUUUACUGUAUAUUCACAAAAAUAUGAAGAGAAUCGCAGUAGCUGCGCACUCUGUGAGAAAAAUAGAUGGGAAAUAACAGUUAAAAGCUACUAAAAUGAAAUAUCUGAUACAAUAAAAGCCUCGCUCAACAGAGAUAUUGUGAAAAUUGCAAUAAAGCGAAUUUAUAAAAGGAGGAGAAUGGUUAUACCGGUGCUGGUUGAUUGUGUAAAAAAAUUGCUAAAGCAGACUCAAUAAGAACUGCUCUUAAAAAAUCAUCGUAUUGGUCAAUAAAGUGAGGAAAGAAAGUGGAAUUGAAAUUGACUGUCUCUCAUACUCAUAAUCAGAACCAGAAUGAUCUACUACAAUUUAUAAGCAACCUGUGAUCCGGUGUUAUCCCAGCCGUAGUUACAGUUCAGGCUGUAGCAGACGACAGUCGAUAUAAUGAAAAGAAAUUAACUUAAUCUGCCUCUAUUGUGUUACCAACAAUCCAAUGCAAGUAUGUCAAAUCAACAGGAGCUGAAGCGGGGAGAGAAGUGGAGCAGGAACACAGGAAGUAACCGGAGAGUUAAGAGAUGGAGCACAAACAAACUCAAACAGGGGAAUAUACAAGUUGAUACUGAGAGUCGAGGAGAUCAAUAUAACAAAAGGUGAGUCAGGGGCUGACUCAGUCGAGAGAAUAUACUGUUGAAUUAAAAAGAAAGUCAGGAAAGAGCUGCAAAAUAGAACAAAAAAAUACAUUGACUGAUAUAUUGACUGAUAUUAAAAGCUUUUUUGUAUAUACACCACAAAAAAAGAUGCUUUAUUAACGGAAUCCUGCCUACCCCACCUUUAACUUUAACUUUUUAUUUGUAUCCAUUGCCAAUCAGUUAUUUAUCUGUGACCUUUAUGAAACCAGUGGUAUUAUUUCGAGGCUUUAACAGAUUACAAUAAUCAAGCAAUCUUGGCAUCAAAUCAACAUAAUCAGCUUUAUUAGAUUAUACAUAACACCAUGUAAUCAUGUUGGACCCAACAGUCAUUUAAAGUACAAAAGGAGAAGCAGAGAAAGUGUCGCAAAAGGUUCACAAACAAACUGAGGCCGGUAGAGUAUUAAAAUUAAGACUCCAAGCAAAGGAAAUCAAUAAACCGAGGGAGGGUCAGGGGAUUAGUGAAGGGCCACUGACACAGUCUCUGGGAGGAAACCCUUGAACAAUUAGGGAAAUGAGGGUGAAAUUGCAAAAAGGAACAAAGAAGUAGCUCAAACUGGAGUCUUGCUAAAAUUAAGUUCCCCUGACAGAGAGUUCUGCUUUCACAGGACCACUCAUGAGUGGAGUUUGCAUAAUUUUAGCCAGGAGUUGCCACUUACCCUGACAUGAGAAUAAACUGUAUGCACUUCUUAUACACACAAAACUGCUAACCUCCCUCUGGGAGUUGUUUUGGUAAUAAAAAAUAAUGACUUAAAGCUCAUCUGGGAACUUUUUUAACACUUAAAAAAGAAACAGAAAUUUAUGUUAAUGCCUUUUGAUGACACACAGAGGCAAACAUGACCAUCGGGAACAAACUUUAUGCAUUUUAAACUGGAAUUUUCAACACCUAAAACCAGUGAGAGGGGAUAGGUGUAAGUGAAGCUUCUAAAUAGAUAGUCGUGUUUUAACAUUUCUAAUAUUAAUUAUUCACAAAAAGUGAUGAAUUUGACCGGCAAAAAUUAGUAGGAUUAAGUUUUGGUAACACUUUACAAUAACCAUAAUUUAUAAAUGGUAAAUAGAUAGUUUAUUAAUGUUUAAUCAUCAUUUAAAAUCAGCAUAUAGACCAAUUAUAAAUGGCAAAUAAAUAUGUUAUUCAUCUAAGUUAAUAUUUUCUUGAUCAUUAACAAGCAUUAAAAUUAUGAUUAAUAAUUUUCACUAAUUGUUAAUGCAAUAUUGAUUAAAGGUUUAUAUAGGGUUUAAAUAUUAGUUGUAAAACAUCUAGAUUAACACGUGUGUCAGUAGCACUUUAUAAAUGGUGAAUAUUUGGUUUUUAAACCAUCUACAAACAUUACUUAGAUGGUUAUUUUAAAGUUGCAACUGAUCUUUGUAAUACUUUGUAAAUGAUUAACAAGUGGUUUAUGAACCACCAUUAAACUUUACUUAGAUGGUUAUUGUAAAGUUAGGGUUAGGGUUAGGUUUAGGUUUUUAAAAUUGUAAAAUUUACAAUUUAUUAAUGGUCUAUGUCCUAUUUAUAAAUGAUGAUUAAACAUGAAUAAACUAUCUGCUUACCAUUUAUAAAUGGUCUAUUUACCAUUUAUAAGUCAGGGUUAUUGUAAAGUGUUACCUAAGUUUUUGUUAAAUGAUACUCCUGUAGCCAACAGGGGGCGCCAAAACUAACAUAAACCAAAAUGUCCUUAUUGGAGCUUUAAGAAUGGUUGAUCUGUAUGUCGCAUAGAAAGGUAGUAAAAGUAGACAUUUCAGCUUGAUUUAGGAACAGUUUCACAAAUCCCACCAGGAGCUUUAAACUGGUCUUGAUUUUAAUUUUUUGUAAAAAUUCAAUCACCUUAAAAAAUGUUUAAUGUUAUAAAAAAACACACGUUUUUAUAAGUGUCUUAUGAGGAAUCUGUGUCAGGGUCUUUAUCUGUUAUCUAUCGCCCUUAGAGAGAUGAACCACAAUACCCAAUUUUGACGAACUGCCAGGGAAGAUCUCAGUGUGUGAGUCUCUUUACUAACACACCAACACAUUCUGCAAAAUAGAGACUUUGGCCCCAAUCAGAGUCCCCUAGUUUUGUGAGCGCUGUCCCAAUUCUGACAAAAUGAGGUGGAUAUUUAAUUUCUCUUUUGAAUUGGUCAGUCCAGAGUGCGUAUCAAAUACAGCUGCGCCCGAAGCAGAUAGGGCAACAACUUCUUUAUUCAGACCGUAAAUGAAUUUCAGGCCCAUGUGGCCCCAGCGUGCAGCAGUCGACACUGAAUGCGAAGGCCUCUUUUCAGCCGCUAAUUGAAAGGCUCAAAUGCUAUUCUCAGUCAUUUCACUGCACUUGAAGUCACACAAAGCCUUGUUAUAACAUAAUUAAUACACAUUGGAGGCAUCAUUAGGAGUUUAAUUUCAUCCAUCUGCCUGCUGGUGAUUGCAUAGAGCAGCCCUUGGAAUAAUGAACAUUUUGGGUGAAUGAGAUACAUAAUACUUUGAUAAUAUUGUCCCCCCAUUUUCACUUAUUAGCAUAUCGCACAAUGCCGUAAAACACAUUGCGAGAUAAAGCCCAAGUGAAGUUUGGAGUCCUCCUCAAAAUGAUAUCAAGUGCUAAAGGGUGGGAUACAAAGAGGACACACACAAACACAACCUUCAACAAACCGCCGAUCCCCCCCGAAACAAGUGGCAGUAAUAGGACAGGAUACGAGGAUUACUGGGACAAUCUUGAAGGGUUUUUAUUUUAAAACGGCACUCAUGGGGCCGGCCAGCUGAGAGUUAGGCAGGGAUUACAGGAGUCCACUGGAUUUGUCCAAAAAGGAUUACCCACUUAGGGGGUUACACUGACACUGUUGACAAUUGUUUGGGAUUCCUCCUCUGUUUGUUCUUCAGUGUUUUAAAGCUAAACCAGAAUUACUGGCAAUUUCCACUGCAACCGGAACAGUUACGAAAAGGCCGUAUUCGCCAAUUGUAACUGAUCGUAACCAUUCAAGUUAAUGUGUCAAUUUCUACUGGCUUCUUUCCGUUUCGCUGCAGAUCGCUGGACUUCUCAGCUGAUCGUAAGAGUUCUAUUUUUUCCGAAUGCCAGAGCACGCCGCAUAAAUUCAGCACAGAUUAGGGUCCUUAUGAAAUAUUCGGAGGCAAAUUUUUACGCGAUUGACUAUCCACAUCAAGCCCAAUGCAAAUUUGGGACUAUCCGUGGGGGGAAAGACGCAUCCCGGGGAAGACUUUUCCCGGGGAAAGUCCCGCCUCCUUCGCUUCUGAUUGGCUAGAAAAGCUGGAAAUGUCAUCACAUGCUCAAGCCAAACAGUCAGCACUUAAAGCCAAUCAGAGGCGAUAAGAUAAGCACAUGAAACUAUGGUAACAACCGUUUGCUUACACUAGCACAGAUGAAAGUUAAAACAAAGACGUUUAGCAAACUGUUAAAGCUCACAAACCAUCGUCAUAUGAGAAAUCCGACACUAUGACUCUCCACAAGUUCUCCUUCAGGUCGUUAUCUUUGUAAUAUUUGUGUCUUUUAUCAAAAAGCACUCUGUUCUCCAACACGUAAACAAUCAGCCGGUCGGCCAUGUUGGAUAUA